rnacentral:rRNA from 1 species
GCGCCUAACACAUGCAAGUCGAGCGGUAGAGAGAAGCUUGCUUCUCUUGAGAGCGGCGGACGGGUGAGUAAUGCCUAGGAAUCUGCCUGGUAGUGGGGGAUAACGUUCGGAAACGGACGCUAAUACCGCAUACGUCCUACGGGAGAAAGCAGGGGACCUUCGGGCCUUGCGCUAUCAGAUGAGCCUAGGUCGGAUUAGCUAGUUGGUGAGGUAAUGGCUCACCAAGGCGACGAUCCGUAACUGGUCUGAGAGGAUGAUCAGUCACACUGGAACUGAGACACGGUCCAGACUCCUACGGGAGGCAGCAGUGGGGAAUAUUGGACAAUGGGCGAAAGCCUGAUCCAGCCAUGCCGCGUGUGUGAAGAAGGUCUUCGGAUUGUAAAGCACUUUAAGUUGGGAGGAAGGGCAGUUACCUAAUACGUGAUUGUUUUGACGUUACCGACAGAAUAAGCACCGGCUAACUCUGUGCCAGCAGCCGCGGUAAUACAGAGGGUGCAAGCGUUAAUCGGAAUUACUGGGCGUAAAGCGCGCGUAGGUGGUUUGUUAAGUUGGAUGUGAAAUCCCCGGGCUCAACCUGGGAACUGCAUUCAAAACUGACUGACUAGA